AUUGAACGCUGGCGGCAUGCCUUACACAUGCAAGUCGAACGGCAGCACGGGUGCUUGCACCUGGUGGCGAGUGGCGAACGGGUGAGUAAUGUAUCGGAACGUACCUUUCAGUGGGGGAUAACUAUCCGAAAGGAUAGCUAAUACCGCAUAUUCUGUGAGCAGGAAAGCAGGGGAUCGCAAGACCUUGCGCUGAUUGAGCGGCCGAUAUCAGAUUAGCUAGUUGGUGGGGUAAAGGCCUACCAAGGCUACGAUCUGUAGCGGGUCUGAGAGGAUGAUCCGCCACACUGGAACUGAGACACGGUCCAGACUCCUACGGGAGGCAGCAGUGGGGAAUUUUGGACAAUGGGGGCAACCCUGAUCCAGCCAUGCCGCGUGAGUGAAGAAGGCCUUCGGGUUGUAAAGCUCUUUCGGACGGGAAGAAAUCGCAUCGGCUAAUACCUGGUGCGGAUGACGGUACCGUAAUAAGAAGCACCGGCUAACUACGUGCCAGCCGCCGCAGUAAGAC
rnacentral:rRNA from 1 species